rnacentral:rRNA from 1 species
GAUGAACGCUAGCUACAGGAUUAACACAUGCAAGUAGAGGGGAAACGGCAUUGAGUGCUUGCACUCUUUGGACGUCGACCGGCGCACGGGUGAGUAACGCGUAUCCAACCUUCCCAAUAGUGUGGGAUAACCUGCCGAAAUGCAGACUAAGACCGCAUGGUCUUUGAAGACGGCAUCAGAUUUGAAGUAAAGAUUUAUCGGUAAUGGAUGGGGAUGCGUAUGAUUAGCUUGUGGGCGGGGUAACGGCCCACCAAGGUUACGAUCAGUUGGGGUUGUGAGAGGAAGGUCCCCCACAUUGGAACUGAGACCCGGUUCAAGCUCCUACGGGAGGCAGCAGUGA